GCUGGGCGUGGUGGCGCACGCCUGGAAUCCCAACGGCUUGGGAGGCUGAGACAGGAGGAUCAAAGCCAAGCGCUAAGCAAUUCAGUGAGAUCCUGUCUCUA
rnacentral:sRNA from 1 species